rnacentral:rRNA from 1 species
AUAAAUAACAAUCCAGGACACAGGGUCUUGGUAAUUGGAAUGAGUACAAUUUAAAUCUCUUAACGAGGAACAACUAGAGGGCAAGUCUGGUGCCAGCAGCCGCGGUAAUUCCAGCUCUAGUAGCGUAUAUUAAAGUUGUUGCAGUUAAAAAGCUCGUAGUUGAUUAUGAAGUGUGUGGGUGUUGGUGCACUUAACAGUGCCACUGGCAUCCUGUGCUUUUGAUGAGUUGGCCAGCAUGACUGUAACUGGUUGUGCUGGAUGGGCUCAGUGAUUACUGUGAAAAAAUUAGAGUGUUUAAAGCAGGCCUAACUUAGCUUGAAUACAUUAGCAUGGAAUAACAGAAUAGGCUCUGAGGGCUAUUUUGUUGGUUUUGGGUGGCUCAGAGAAUGAUUAAGAGGAACAGUUGGGGGCAUUAGUAUUUAAUGGUCAGAGGUGAAAUUCUUGGAUUCAUUAAAGACUAACUACUGCGAAAGCAUUUGCCAAGGAUGUUUUCAUUAAUCAAGAACAAAAGUUAGGGGAUCGAAGUCGAUUAGAUACCGUCGUAGUCUUAACCAUAAACUAUGUCGACUCAGACUUGUUGCUCAGUCACUAAUGCUGGCAGCAGUGCUGUGUGGGAAACCAAAGUGUUUGGAUUCCGGGGGGAGUACAGUUGCAAGGCUGAAACUUAAAGGAAUUGACGGAAGGGCACCACCAGGAGUGGAUUAUGCGGCUUAAUUUGACUCAACACGGGGAAACUUACCAGGUCAGAACAUAGUGAGGAUUGACAGAUUGAGAGCUCUUUCUUGAUUCUAUGGGUGGUGGUGCAUGGCCGUUCUUAGUUGGUGGAGUGAUUUGUCUGGUUAAUUCCGAUAACGAACGAGACCUUAACCUGCUAACUAGAACGUGCAAGUCUUUACUUGCAGCUUGAGUUCUUCUUAGAGGGACUGUUGAUGUCUAAUCAACGGAGGUUUGAGGCAAUAACAGGUCUGUGAUGCCCUUAGAUGUUCUGGGCCGCACGCGUGAUACACUGACACAGUCAGCGAGUUCAUGACCUUGUCUGAGAGGACUGGGUAAUCUUGUGAAACUGUGUCGUGUUGGGGAUAGACCCUUGUAAUUAUUGGUCUUGAACGAGGAAUUCCUAGUAAGUGCAAGUCAUCAGCUUGCAUUGAUUACGUCCCUGCCCUUUGUACACACCGCCCGUCGCUAGUACCGAUUGAAUGGCUUAGUGAGGC